UACGUAGGGUGCGAGCGUUGCCCGGAUUUACUGGGCGUAAAGGGCGCGUAGGCGGUCAGCACAAGUCAGUUGUGAAAUCUCCGGGCUUAACUCGGAAAGGUCAACUGAUACUGUGCGACUAGAGUGCAGAAGGGGCAACUGGAAUUCUCGGUGUAGCGGUGAAAUGCGUAGAUAUCGAGAGGAACACCUGCGGCGAAGGCGGGUUGCUGGGCUGACACUGACGCUGAUGCGCGAAAGCCAGGGGAGCGAACGGG
rnacentral:rRNA from 1 species